rnacentral:lncRNA from 1 species
ACUACUUUCAGAAUGCAGAAGUAUUACAUAAAUUUGCCCUCAUAUCUCAGUCCACACUGGCAUUAGAUCUUGCCUCCUUUUGAUUUGCCAUUUUUUCCAGUGCCUUUGAGCUAGCUCUGGUUGUCCAGAGUAUAUCCUCAGGACUUGACCCUUUUAAACAUUUCUUCCCCCAAUCAAAAUGGACCUAAUAUACUGAAGAUGUUAACUAAGGAUUUUGUUCACUGAAACUAUUUAAAAUAACCUGUGUUCAUGGGUAUAUUCAUAAGAUGAUAGUAACACGGACAUUUAAAUCUGGUCUUACCCAAACUGUCUUAACUCAAAAGAAGGCACUAUGAUGGACCAAUACAAGAGAGAAUUCAGGAUAGAAUAGACUUUGAGGACUAAAUCAGAUAAUAUAAAGCUGUACAAAGUCUGGGAUAUUGCAUUUCAAAAUAAGCUUUAUUUUUUAACAAGUUAAUUUACACUUUUUUGGUUAGAAAAGAUGCCAAACUAC